UUCGGCAGAAAUUUUGAAGCAGAAACAUAUACUUCAAUCUUAGUCCAUCCAUACAGUGUAUUUCAUUGUUCGUCUUUGUGUGACGGCUGUUAGCAUGUAACAUUGAAUAGCAAUUACAAUGAUGAACACAAAACACUGGUUACUCAACUGGUUCGUCCGUCGUUGUCGACGAUGACCUAGGAUAUCACAUACGAGAAGAAAGAUGGGUCACGGUGCCUCUUGCUGUGGUCGAUCAGGCCGAUACGUGCUCGGAAGAUUCUGCCGCAGGUUGGGCACCGGUGGUCUGCUGGGAAUGAAGGCAAGGAGUUGGAUCUGGUCUUGCGCUGCUCACAAAUUUUCUUUGUGAUUCUGUGAUCCUAGUCCUAGGAGAUGGCAUUUCUGUUGCUGCAGCUACGCCAGGAAGUGCAGACCUGUGCUUAUAUUUUCCAGGUGUUGGGGUUGAUUUAAAAUCACAUCAGUGACGCUUUGAGUGAAUGUUUCAAGCGCUUUUUCUGCCCACCUUCUCUGCGCUUGCCUUCUGCCAAUUCACUGUAAAACAGUCUUUUGGGUGGUCGUGUGCCAAGCAUUCGAACAAGUACAUAUGUCAACAGAAUAUAGCUAUAAAAAACGAGAAUGAAGAACAAAGUGGUUUGAGAGAGACUUAGAAGCUACGUUCUGGCUGUUUUCGACCACGCAGAACUGGAGUUUUCAACCAUUUUUUAAUUCUGAUGAUGUCAAUCGAUUGCAGCGAGGUGAAUACAUAUUUACCCCAGCCUGAUGUACGGAAACAGCUGUAAACUUACUUUAAC